UGAUAAAAAAAGGACUUUAACCUUUAUAAAAGGGGUUACAACCCUGCACUUGCUUCAGUCAUUUUACC
rnacentral:tRNA from 1 species